rnacentral:lncRNA from 1 species
UACUUAGAAUAUGUGAGGAAAUGUUUUUUAGAGCCUGUUGUAUGUUUAUUUGCUCCUGAAUCUAUAACCCAAGAGGGUUUUGCAAUUUUUGCAAGAAAGGUAAGGAAAGCAUUACCUGAAUUAACAAAAUUAGAGGCUGCAGUAUGGGUUGAGGAUGAAUCAAGCUGUGACAACAAUCGUUUUAGGGACUGAAUCUCCUUAUCAGAAAAGCUUCCAGCAGUAGAUGGUUCCUCAGAUAAAGAUCCACUAUCAGAUAUGUGUGCC